rnacentral:tRNA from 1 species
GGUGCUGUGGCUUAGUUGGUCAAAGUGCCUGUCUAGUAAACAAGAAAUCCUGGGUUCAAAUCCCAGCAGUGCCU